ACGGAGGGUGCAAGCGUUAUUCGGAAUUACUGGGCGUAAAGCGCGUGUAGGCGGUUCUGCAAGUCUGAUGUGAAAUCCCCGGGCUUAACCCGGGAACUGCAUUGGAAACUGUGGGACUUGAGUACUGGAGAGGAGGGGGGAAUUCCCGGUGUAGAGGUGAAAUUCGUAGAUAUCUGGAGGAAUAUCAGUGGCGAAGGCGGCCCUCUGGGCUGUAACUGACGCUGAGACGCGAAAGCGGGGGGAGCAAACAG
rnacentral:rRNA from 1 species